AGGGACGUCUUCGUACGUCGUCUAAGGCCAAGUUAAAGAAAUUUACGGAAAGGGAUUUAGCUUUUGAGGUUGAACGUAGACGAGAAGGCGAAGGUGUUGAGAACGAUCAUCCAAUAAGUAGUUAGAUAGCCCAAAGUAGUAUGUUUUCAUACAUACUACUUUGUCUUGGACUUUUUCCGCUGCAUUAGGAUUUUGUACUAGGAGUCUAUGAACCUAGACCGCACUCUGACUUUCUUUUGACUAUGUACCCAUUCGCCUUCAAAACUAUUUCCUCGAGUUGAAUUGUUUCUUGUAUGCUUAAUUUAUGAUUGAUGAGCUUAUAUUA